GACGAACGCUGGCGGCGUGCUUAACACAUGCAAGUCGAACGGAAAGGCCCUGCUUUUGUGGGGUGCUCGAGUGGCGAACGGGUGAGUAACACGUGAGUAACCUGCCCUUGACUUUGGGAUAACUUCAGGAAACUGGGGCUAAUACCGGAUAGGAGCUCCUGCUGCAUGGUGGGGGUUGGAAAGUUUCGGCGGUUGGGGAUGGACUCGCGGCUUAUCAGCUUGUUGGUGGGGUAGUGGCUUACCAAGGCUUUGACGGGUAGCCGGCCUGAGAGGGUGACCGCCCACAUUGGGACUGAGAUACGGCCCAGACUCCUACGGGAGGCAGCAGUGGGGAAUAUUGCACAAUGGGCGGAAGCCUGAUGCAGCAACGCCGCGUGCGGGAUGACGGCCUUCGGGUUGUAAACCGCUUUCGCCUGUGACGAAGCGUGAGUGACGGUAAUGGGUAAAGAAGCGCCGGCUAACUACGUG
rnacentral:rRNA from 1 species